rnacentral:rRNA from 1 species
UGGUGGAGUGAUCUGUCUGGUUAAUUCCGUAAACGAACGAGACUAAGCCCUGCUAAAUAGCCACACGUACAACCAUUAGUACGCUGUGGCUUCUUAGAGGGACUGUCGGCUUCCAGCCGAAGGAAGCGCUUGGCAAUAACA